GUUAUAGAAAGAAAAGAGAUGGAUUGGAGGACAAAGAAUAACGACGUAGACUGUGGAGUGUUUACGAUGCGUCACAUGGAAACAUACAAAAGAGACAAAAUACCAUGGGUGACUGGAUUUGUGAAAGGAGACAAAAUACCAUGGAAACAUCAAAUUUAGUCAUAUUAUGAUAAAAUUCUAGGUUUCUUUUGAUUAAUUUCAGUUUUGAUUGUUUAACCUCUAAUUUAUUAAAUAGGAUCGGAAGGAUAUUGUUAUUUGCUAGAGCCGUUGUGGUAGGUUUGAUUUGUUGAAAAAAAGGUUCUCUGUGUUUCGUUCGGUAAUCAGAUUAUAAAGCGAUUUGGAAUCGCAUUGAUUUGACUUGCUGUAGUCAGAGUAGACUUUGAUCCAUUGAAGUGAUAAAACUGCUGCUCGAUUUGCCAUGUAGACCAGACACCAGUGAGUGCUAAAAUGGUUUGUUUUCUAUAUUAUUCUACCAGGGCUCCUGAUUUCAGAACUACCAGGGUUGGUGACGAUGGGCUUUAAGGAUGAAAAAUGUUGAGGUAAUCACAUGGUAAAACCGAUGGCGCACUACUCUUGGAGAGAAUAAGAGAAAAGGCUGGUUCAGGCCCUCUUUAGUUCGGUCCAGGCCAGUUUGGGCAUGUUUUUGGCCAGUUUAUGCUAAUGGUCUGUCAUGAAAAAAAAAAUCCCUGCCAAGAAACCAGUUGUUACAAUUUCGUCGAUCUGUUACAAGGAUAUGGAGUUGUUAUUUAGUGCUUUUGGUUUGAUAUAGGAGCAAACUAUUAGAGUUAUGAAGUUGUUAAACACAUGGACAGCAGGACAGGUACACUUGAAUAUGUGAUAAGGCGGAGGAGGUUUCAGCAGUGGCCGCGGAGAAAAGUUUGCCCAAAGACCCUGCAAUAAAAAACACCAAUCUUGCAUAAUUGGAUGCUAUCCCACGCCAUCCCGCCAAGAAAUAUCAGAUUCCAGGUUCUGCGUAAGAAUAAAAUGGAUGUUAAAAGGAUUACCAGGUAAGUUUUUUGUCAAUAGUUUUAUAAAUUAAAUGGAAGGUUAGUUUGGGGUUUAUGGUAAUAGUUGACCCGUGUAUUUAUCAGCGGGUUAAUUUGGGGUAUAUGCUAAAUUAAAUAAAAAAAUAGUGUAAAACGAAACGGGUCAAAAGUUGCCCAAAGUGUACCUCUAAGACCACCCAUAGUGGGGGGUUUUUGGCGUUUUUCCCUAAAAGAACGCCCAAAAACGGUCGGUAACCGCCCUUGGGGCGUUUUUUUUUUUUUUUGAAAAAAAUGGGUGACGCGUGCUUUUUUUUAACGCUUGGAACUUUAUCUUUGGCCAAUAUCAUUUUUUUAUGGUUUUUAUUUCUAUUUUUUAUUUAAUUCUAUUAAAAUAUAAUGGCCCACAAGAUUUCAAGCCCCACUACACCCUUUUAACGUAAUGCCCACAAUGCACACAUGCUGACUGGACCGCCACAUGGCGCAAAUAGCCCAAGGCGUCUUCCCCUUCCCACUACACAUGGUCUAAUGCACAAGGGCUCCUUAAUCUUUUUUAUUGAAAACACAUAUUGUGAUCAAUAUCAUAUAAUUGGUGUAAUCAUAUUUGAUAAACUAAUUACUUAAUAAAUUUUAAAUGUCAUGGACAAAAAAAUAUUUCAUGUCAGCUUAGCAUGCAUCAAAAAAAGAAGCUGGACCUGCAUUUGAAGUCUUAAGUGAUAUUUUUGAUGCCAUUGAUUCCAGAUUUCAAGAGAGCGGAGGACGAAUUCACCUUUGAUCUUGUUGAGCAGUGUUUCUGAAAUUUCAUAAAUGAGUACUGCAUGUUGGAGUUACAUCUUGGUAAAUCCUCUUUUAUGUGGAUAUACCGGAUGAGAAAAUGAUAUAUCAAGCAAUCCAGUGAAAUACUCAGCUCCAGAAGACACUAACAAGACAUGAUGGCCUUGUUUCUGGUAGAUAUUGCCUAUAUUAGCCCACAUUGAUCAAGGUGGAAGAAAAAGAUCCACUUUCCUGAACGACUCUUCAAAUUGUAUGGCAACUCCAUUGAUUCUCUGUAGAUGUUGUCAAACAGGCUCAGGCUGGUUCUCAAAAUUGGUUGGUUGGGUUUUUUUGCCCAUUUCUAUUUUACAACUGUGAGGUUGGGGAACAUUUGAAUAAACUUUGGGUGACCGUAACAUCAUCCACAUGGAGAAUGUUGCAUAUCUUCACUUAACUUUUUUGGUUUUGGUAGAAAAGCUACAAUAGAGUCGAGAACAAUUGUUAUCCAACUAACCCGUGACCCGAGUUGUAUUGGUUUAGGCAAUUUCCUACAUAAUCUAUUGAUUUUACAUAUUUUCUCUUAA